GGAUGACGUCAAGUCAUCAUGGCCCUUACGACCAGGGCUACACACGUGCUACAAUGGCGCAUACAAAGAGAAGCGACCUCGCGAGAGCAAGCGGACCUCAUAAAGUGCGUCGUAGUCCGGAUUGGAGUCUGCAACUCGACUCCAUGAAGUCGGAAUCGCUAGUAAUCGUGGAUCAGAAUGCCACGGUGAAUACGUUCCCGGGCCUUGUACACACCGCCCGUCACACCAUGGGAGUGAGUUGCAAAAGAAGUAGGUAGCUUAACCUUCGGGAGGGCGCUUACCACUUUGUGAUUCAUGACUGGGGUGAAGUCGUAACAAGGUAACCGUAGGGGAACCUGCGGUUGGAUCACCUCCUUACCUUAAAGAA
rnacentral:rRNA from 1 species